rnacentral:lncRNA from 1 species
GGGAGACCUGGAUCCCUCGCCCUGGCCCGGCUGGGUGCGCGCGGUGCGGGCGGCGUGGGCGGUGCGGGCAUUUCGGGGGCCCGCGCUGCAGGGGCAGCCCUGACCCAAGGUGGGGCUGCUGAACUCGGUGAGGUGGAUACUGUGACAGUUCAGAUUUUUGCCUUAAAAUGUAAUGCUUUUUGAUAAAGAUGCUUAUGUAUAACUUUUUUAAAAAGGUGUCACUAUCUCAGCAUUUAGAUAUAUUAAUUUGCGGGGUUUUUUUUCUGAGCCUGAAUCGAAUGACCUGGAUAGGUCACUUACUUGCAGAAUGCAUGUUAAAACCCCUAAAACACAAACAGACCUGCGUUAUCA